rnacentral:misc_RNA from 1 species
CACAAUAAAAUAUGAAGGCUGUACGCGGCUGUACUCUCGGGCCAGUUUUGCGGAGGCUGAAUUAUUUAUUACCCUUGUCUUUUGCGCACUUGUUGUUUCCUGGGCGGGUUCGCCCGCCACCAGGACCACAUCAUAAACCUUUUUUAUGCAGUUGCAAUCAGCGUCAGUAUAACAAAUGUAAAUCAUUUA